CACGGCCUGGAGAGGCCUCGGCGCACAAGGCCGGGGAUAAGCGGCCUCCCGGGGGAGGCGCAGGCGGCGCUGCCUUAGCGAUGGAAAGCAGGCAUUUCAGUGUUGAUGUUCCCCAGUCCUGGCGGCUGACGGUUACUAGGGGAUCCUGAAGGAUGUGUUUCCCUGUGACCCUUUGAGAAGAAAAACUUAGUUGCCGCAGUAACCAAGUUUGGCGUGGAUGCAAUGAUGCAGUAAAUAGCAUAGAGUGGCCAGAGGAGAUGGGAUGAACCACAGUAAUGCAAAUAGUGAAAAGUGCAGAGUGAAGAGGAUAGCUGUAUCAUGGAAAGCGACGGGAAGGAUGGUGCGUGCGGUGCCGUGCAGCCUAACUACCUGUACGUGCCAGCGGCCGCAUCUUGCCUUUGAUUAGGCACCGCAUUUGCACCUCGUGUUCCUGUACUGAUGUUCACGGUCCUGUUACAUUUAACGCGUCCUUUAGUUCUGGAUGGAUGACUGACCCCUGCGGGGACCCAAAUCGCGCAAGGACGAAAAGUUUCUGAGGAGCCAAACACAACC